rnacentral:rRNA from 1 species
CGGGGUGAGUAAUGUCUGGGAAACUGCCCGAUGGAGGGGGAUAACUACUGGAAACGGUAGCUAAUACCGCAUAACGUCGCAAGACCAAAGAGGGGGACCUUAGGGCCUCUUGCCAUCGGAUGUGCCCAGAUGGGAUUAGCUAGUAGGUGGGGUAAUGGCUCACCUAGGCGACGAUCCCUAGCUGGUCUGAGAGGAUGAUCAGCCACACUGGGACUGAGACACGGCCCAG